rnacentral:misc_RNA from 1 species
UCAGCAGCCGCGGUAAUACGUUCCCGGGCCUUGUACACACCGCCCGUCACAUCACGAAAGUCGGUUGCACUAGAAGUCGGUGGGCCAACCCGCAAGGGAGGCAGCCGCCUAAAGUGUGAUCGGUAAUUGGGGUGAAGUCGUAACAAGGUAGCUGUAGGAGAACCUGCGGCUGGAUCACCUCCUUUCUAAGGAGCACCUCCGCUCUCGAUCAAAAGAGAGUCGUGACGGCAUCGCAAGGUGCCAUUAGGUUGCACCCUAGGUCGACAGGAAUCGCGUCGCCCAAGCGACAAACGUUCGGCCUUCUUGAUCUUCCUGUUCAGUUUUCAGAGAGUCGGCUCCCGGGCUCUAUGACAAUCGAACGCUGCGGAAAUGAAGGUGGCUGGCGAAUCGGCUAUCGAUCGACGCGCUGCUCCAAAGGUAAGCGGGCCUAUAGCUCAGUUGGUUAGAGCGCACGCCUGAUAAGCGUGAGGUCGGUAGUUCAAAUCUACCUAGGCCCACCAUUCUCCACGACUGAGUCAUGGGGACUGCCUGCUGCUCGGUUUCAGCAUGUAGUCCUCAUCCCUCAGUCCACUGGAAGCCGGAACCGGGGCUGUAGCUCAGCUGGGAGAGCACCUGCUUUGCAAGCAGGGGGUCGUCGGUUCGAUCCCGAUCAGCUCCACCAAUUUCCGCCAUCGUUCGCGAGUAUCUGCGGUGAGCAUCACCAUGUCGUGCUCAGCGUCGAUCUUCGCGAUCAGCGUUUCUUUGACAAUUGAAUACGGGGGAAGUAGAUAAAGAGAUGCAAGGACUUUUCCU